rnacentral:rRNA from 1 species
AGUGAACGCUGGCGGUAGGCCUAACACAUGCAAGUCGAACGGCAGCACAGUAAGAGCUUGCUCUUACGGGUGGCGAGUGGCGGAUGGGUGAGGAAUACAUCGGAAUCUACUUUUUCGUGGGGGAUAACGUAGGGAAACUUACGCUAAUACCGCAUACGGCCUACGGGUGAAAGCAGGGGAUCUUCGGACCUUGCGCGAUUGAAUGAGCCGAUGUCGGAUUAGCUAGUUGGCGGGGUAAAGGCCCACCAAGGCGACGAUCCGUAGCUGGUCUGAGAGGAUGAUCAGCCACACUGGAACUGAGACACGGUCCAGACUCCUACGGGAGGCAGCAGUGGGGAAUAUUGGACAAUGGGCGCAAGCCUGAUCCAGCCAUACCGCGUGGGUGAAGAAGGCCUUCGGGUUGUAAAGCCCUUUUGUUGGGAAAGAAAAGCAGCAGGUUAAUACCCCGCUGUUCUGACGGUACCCAAAGAAUAAGCACCGGCUAACUUCGUG